AGGAACUGUCCGUCGUAAUGUCCUGCCACCCUCCACGAUGCCUCAGGGCUCAGGACCCCUGCUGCACCUUGGCUCCUGCCAGCCUCUGCCUAGACGCUCCUCCUUUGUCCUCAUUUCCUUUCUAAAGCCUACCCUGUGUCUUCCUUCCUCCUUCUGAUAUCUGGGACUUAAGAUCACCCAACCCGAUUACCCAUUACCACUCCAUUAUAUCUGCUUCUCUAUUGUUUGCUAAUUGGUGUACCUAGAAAGUGUAUCUCCUGGCCAGGCAGUAACCGUGGUCAUUUUUCUCUUUCGAUGAGGAAGAGAAAUUGCAGGUCACUUUGCCUGCAAUUAAGGGUCUGUGGGGCGGAGAAAGUUUUGUGAUAUCUUGCUCAUGGCCCCAAAACUGUGACUUUGUGCCGACUUGGGCAGGGGGAAAAUGGGAGAGAGUAUCAUACUUUUUGACUCAAUCAUCCUUUUAAAAAAACCCCAACUUAUAAAGCUGGAGAUGGCAGUAAGCCUGAAAAGAGGUACUGUUACGGAUUGUGCUUCUCAAGACAUAGACACCUGUAUACAAUCUGAUUCUUUUUGUGUUCCUUCAUGACUGAUUUUAAUACUACGUUCCAGGUCCUAACCUUGCUGGAGUAUUCUCUCCCUCAGCAUAGAGUCAGCUGUCCUUUCCAGAGGUGAGUGGGGGUUAUUCUGGGACUUAGCAUGCAGAACAUUUGCAAAGGACCUUGCUUUUUAUGGUUUAGGGAGUAAUUUUUGUGAUCUGGUUUUUCAGAGCUUGUUGCUAAAGGAAAUUUCCAGUGGAUUCUCGGUCCCUUCUCCUCUGGGCUACCAAAGUCAUCGCUUUCCACAGGGCAGACUGGGAAGUAGGGUGUUUGAUGCUGGGACAGACAAGGAAGAGAAGGGAAACGUAUGAUACGCUAGCUGCUUUGUGCACCUUGUCCUUAAUACAACGGCUUUGCAAUGCUCUUGAGGUCACAUGUGGAGCCAUCCAGCAUACAGACUUUGGAGUCAGAGAACUGAGUCUGCGUGACCUUGGAAAAGUCACUUGCAUUUUCUGAUCGCCAUUCUUCACGUUUAAAGUGUUGAUGGUCAGAGGAGCACCUACUUCCUGGGCUGGUCAAAGAGUUCUGGGAGAUCCCACACAGAGAGCAGUCAACACAGUGCCCGGCACACAGAAAGCACUAGCUAACCAUCAGCGAUCUUUAUGGCCACCACUCUCCUUUGACAUAAGGAGACGGGGCUCCGAGGCCCUGAGUGACUUUGCCCACGGUCACACAGCUGGUGUGCAGCAGAACCCAGGGCUGUCCAGCUUGCGAGCCUACUCUUUGCACUAUGCCAUGUGCAAAGAAUCAAGAUUUCAAAAGAGCGUUGUGGGCUGUAACUGGAAAGUGAAAACAAAAACGCCUUUCAACAGGGAUCGAUGCAAA